UACGUAGGGUGCAAGCGUUGUCCGGAAUUAUUGGGCGUAAAGAGCUUGUAGGCGGUUUGUCGCGUCUGCUGUGAAAUUUCGGGGCUCAACCCCGAACUUGCAGUGGGUACGGGCAGACUAGAGUGUGGUAGGGGAGACUGGAAUUCCUGGUGUAGCGGUGAAAUGCGCAGAUAUCAGGAGGAACACCGGUGGCGAAGGCGGAUCUCUGGGCCUUACCUGACGCUGAGGCGCGAAAGCUAGGGGAGCAAACAGG
rnacentral:rRNA from 1 species